CACAUUGUUUGAUCGCUUAAUUCACUUUUUAUUGGUGGAUGAGGAAUUCAUUAUUUUGUUGGAAAAAGGAGUAGCUCCUUGUACUCAACACGUGCGAGGAUCCUAUUAUUGUUUUAUGAGUGUCUUCCCCGAUUGAGAUCUAGACAAGCAAUACUAAUCUCUGUCAUAGGUUCCUAAGUGUCUGUUUCCCAUUGGGUGCCUUACUUUUCGUGUAACAUCAAAGUCAUUAUAUGGUGGUGAGUUGUCUAAUCCUCUUUUUGCUGAUUGACAAUGUAGUGAAGGGAGCUUGUGGUUAGACUCUGCAGAAUUUCAAUGAGAUGAUGGGAUUGCUUGAGAUUUUGGGGUUUAACUACCUAACAUUGUUUCCCUGAUGCAUUCUUGCCAUGGUCAAAUGUUCUUUUACAUGGACGUACGGCCUUUGGCAAGACAUGCAUUGUUAGUGCAGCAAUAGCAGCUUGUUCUCUUCAAUCCAUAUCAGUGAAAGGGCUGAACUGUUAGAUAAGUACAUUGGAACGUCUGAGCAAGCUGCAAAAAUAACUGAUUUUGAGAAGUGGUUAGACAUAGUCGCUACUCUGCAGGCCAAGAAGAGUUCCGAUAAGGUUUGUUGUCUCGCACAACUCUUUCUUCUGACUGUGUAAACUAGUCAAGAUUUGGAUUGGGUAUUGUUCAAUUCCAUGGUCACCAUCUUAUUUGCGGCUCUUUGACAGAUCCAUGUCCUGAGGAG